UAUUAUAAGUAAGGGAGCUGACAAGUUAGUCGGCUGAGAGGAGGCUGAAUGCCUCGACCUAUGACCUGAUUUGGAUAAUGCCAACGGAGGGAAACAGCGAGCCUUUACGG
rnacentral:ncRNA from 1 species